UUACAGCCAUGGAAGACUUUAAUUCGCAUACUCCCCUUCCCUCCCCCCACACACUACCUCUUCUGAAGUUAUUGCCUCUGAAGCUCAUUGAUAUAAAUACAUUUAUACGAAAUGGAUAUUUCUAUUUUAAAAAGAUAAGCCAAUAUUUACACACAGCCCACGCCCGCGGACCAGAAUGGGGAGAGUGACUUUCGAUAAUGCUACGGGAGAGGGGAAGCUUUGUCCCGAGCAAUGAGAAUAUGAAACACAAACUUAGUCUCAUGGUUUGAGACGGAGUGUUGAAACAUUGGAAGGUAGGAUCAAUGAACCAGUAAGGGAGAACAGAACAAACCGAUGAUUGGAUCAGGCAGAUGAGUUAACCCUCCAUUCCCCAUCUGGAAAUCUCAUCAAGGCAUGCACAGCAAGAUCUUAUGGAAUAAUUAAUGAAAAUGGUACAUUCAAGUUUAAAAAACAUGAUUGUGGCAGCAUCAACUUUGACUUGGGUAGCUCCUUUGCAGCAGAGAUCCAGCUUGCAAAGCUGAAAACUCAACAAAGCAUAAGUUAGGAUUGCCCAUGUCAUGUAUUCCAUUCAAUGCAUGAGGACCAUUUAGACAAUGCAGCAAAUAAAAAAAAUGGUAUUUAGCCCCUCAGACCUGCCUACCAGUUCAUUCGCUCAUGGUCAAUCUAUUACUGAAUAUCACCUGUCUGUCUUUGCUCUAUAUUAAUAAGAUACACUGACCCAAUUGGUCCUGGUCCCUCGCCCUUGGCACAGCACAGAUGCCAAUGUCAAGUGAAUUUACAGAUGAACAUUCACAAACAUUUCGACAGAAGGCAAAGCUCAAUCGGAUGAUUAAACAGCAUUUGUUGGCAAGAGACCAAGUUUCAGUUGGACUGUAAAGUUUGAGGGAUGGGGUAGAUGGUCAGAGAGCAUUGGCCAGC